rnacentral:piRNA from 1 species
GAAAGGAAAAAUGGAAGAAAAAG